rnacentral:rRNA from 1 species
CACGAACUGCGCAAACGUUAUUCGGAAUCACUGGGCUUAAAGAGUUCGUAGGCGGCGCGUUAAGUCGGGUGUGAAAUCCCUCGGCUCAACCGAGGAAUUGCGUCCGAAACUAGCGUGCUCGAGUAAGAUAGAGGUGAGCGGAACUGAUGGUGGAGCGGUGAAAUGCGUUGAUAUCAUCAGGAACACCGGUGGCGAAAGCGGCUCACUGGGUCUUUACUGACGCUGAGGAACGAAAGCUAGGGGAGCGAACGGG